UACGUAGGGUGCGAGCGUUGUCCGGAAUUAUUGGGCGUAAAGAGCUUGUAGGCGGUUUGUCGCGUCUGCCGUGAAAGCCCAGGGCUAAACCCCGAGCCUGCAGUGGAUACGGGCUAGCUAGAGUGCGGUAGGGGAGACUGGAAUUCCUGGUGUAGCGGUGAAAUGCGCAGAUAUCAGGAGGAACACCGGUGGCGAAGGCGGGUCUCUGGACCGAUACUGACGCUGAGGAGCGAAAGCGUGGGGAGCGAACAGG
rnacentral:rRNA from 1 species